AUUGAACGCUGGCGGCAGGCCUAACACAUGCAAGUCGAACGGUAACAGGAAGCAGCCUGCUGCUUCGCUGACGAGUGGCGGACGGGUGAGUAAUGUCUGGGAAACUGCCUGAUGGAGGGGGAUAACUACUGGAAACGGUAGCUAAUACCGCAUAACGUCGCAAGACCAAAGAGGGGGACCUUAGGGCCUCUUGCCAUCGGAUGUGCCCAGAUGGGAUUAGCUAGUAGGUGGGGUAACGGCUCACCUAGGCGACGAUCCCUAGCUGGUCUGAGAGGAUGACCAGCCACACUGGAACUGAGACACGGUCCAGACUCCUACGGGAGGCAGCAGUGGGGAAUAUUGCACAAUGGGCGCAAGCCUGAUGCAGCCAUGCCGCGUGUAUGAAGAAGGCCUUCGGGUUGUAAAGUACUUUCAGCGGGGAGGAAGGGAGUAAAGUUAAUACCUUUGCUCAUUGACGUUACCCGCAGAAGAAGCACCGGCUAACUCCGUG
rnacentral:rRNA from 1 species